GGCAUGGUAGCGGAGUGGUUAUCGCGCAAGACUCGGAAUCUUGUUCCCUAAGGAGCGUCAGUUCUAGUCCGGCCUAUCUCG